GAGAGUUUGAUCAUGGCUCAGAACGAACGCUGGCGGCGUGCUUAACACAUGCAAGUCGAACGCGAACGGGACUUCGGUUCCUAGUAGAGUGGCGCACGGGUGAGUAACGCGUAGAUAACCUGUCUUCAUAUCCGGAAUAACACGCCGAAAGGGGUACUAAUACCGGAUAUUCUUGCAUUUCACAGGUAAGGCAAGGAAAGGUGGCCUCUGAUUCAAGCUACUGUAUGAAGAGGGGUCUGCGUACCAUUAGCUAGUAGGUGGGGUAAUGGCCUACCUAGGCGACGAUGGUUAGCGGGUCUGAGGGGACGAUCCGCCACACUGGCACUGGAAUACGGGCCAGACUCCUACGGGAGGCAGCAGUGAGGAAUAUUGCGCAAUGGGGGCAACCCUGACGCAGCGACGCCGCGUGAGUGAGGAAGGUCUUCGGAUCGUAAAGCUCUGUCAAGAGGGAAGAAGUGCAAGGCAGCGAAUAACUGUUUUGUUUGACGGUACCUCUAAAGGAAGCACCGGCUAACUCCGUGCCAGCAGCCGCGGUAAUACGGAGGGUGCGAGCGUUGUUCGGAAUCACUGGGCGUAAAGGGCGCGCAGGCGGGCUGUCAAGUCAGAUGUGAAAUCCCACGGCUUAACUGUGGACGUGCAUUUGAAACUGGCAGUCUUGAGUACCAGAGGGGAAUGUGGAAUUCCCGGUGUAGAGGUGAAAUUCGUAGAUAUCGGGAGGAAUACCGGUGGCGAAGGCGACAUUCUGGCUGGAUACUGACGCUGAGGCGCGAAAGCGUGGGGAGCAAACAGGAUUAGAUACCCUGGUAGUCCACGCCGUAAACGAUGUGAACUAGAUGCAGGGGGUGUUGAUCCCCUCUGUGUCGCAGCUAACGCAUUAAGUUCACCGCCUGGGGAGUACGGUCGCAAGAUUAAAACUCAAAGGAAUUGACGGGGGCCCGCACAAGCGGUGGAGCACGUGGUUUAAUUCGAUGCAAACCGAAGAACCUUACCUGGGUUUGACAUGUACGUAGUAAGAGUCUGAAAGGAUGAUGACAUUACCUUCGGGUAAUGAGCGUACACAGGUGCUGCAUGGCUGUCGUCAGCUCGUGUCGUGAGAUGUUGGGUUAAGUCCCGCAACGAGCGCAACCCCUGCGAUUAGUUGCUAACGGGUAAGGCUGAGCACUCUAAUGGGACUGCCAUCGACAAGAUGGAGGAAGGUGGGGAUGACGUCAAGUCAUCAUGGCCCUUAUGUCCAGGGCGACACACGUGCUACAAUGGCCGGUACAGAGGGAAGCGAGGCCGAGAGGUUGAGCGGAUCCCAUAAAGCCGGUCUCAGUUCGGAUUGAAGUCUGCAAUUCGACUUCAUGAAGCUGGAAUCGCUAGUAAUCGCAGAUCAGCCAAGCUGCGGUGAAUACGUUCCCGGGCCUUGUACACACCGCCCGUCACACCACCCGAGCCGGGUGUACCCGAAGCCGGUGGCCUAACCUUAUGGGAGGAGCCGUCGAAGGUGUGUCUGGUGAGGGGGGUGAAGUCGUAACAAGGUAGCCGUACCGGAAGGUGCGGCUGGAACACCU
rnacentral:rRNA from 1 species